UACGGGGGGAGCAAACGUUGUUCGGAAUCACUGGGCGUAAAGGGCGCGUAGGCGGCCAUGUAAGUGAGGUGUUAAAUCCCCCGGCUCAACCGGGGACCUGCACCUCAUACUGCACGGCUUGAGUACAUCAGAGGAGACUGGAAUUCCCGGUGUAGCGGUGAAAUGCGUAGAUAUCAGGAGGAACACCUAUGGCGAAGGCAGCUCGCUGGGACGGUACUGACGCUGAGGCGCGAAAGCGUGGGGAGCGAACAGG
rnacentral:rRNA from 1 species